rnacentral:lncRNA from 1 species
AUGUUCCCACUUAUUAAUCACCUGAAGUGUGCUGCCUCUAACCCAAUUCUCCCUGUGCUGGUGCAUCUAACCCAUUGCUCUAGAGCUGGGAGGGAAGCAAGCUAUCAUUCACUAGUGGAGUGGCCCUGGCAACUCUGUGCUCCCACAAAGCCCAGCAGUGCCCUACUUUCCACUAUGUUACUGAAAUUAUGCAAGUGGAUAAAGACCCUUGCUAAACUAUCGCUGAAAGUCUUGGAAAAUAAAGUUUGCCUUGGAAGAUGAAGUUCAUCAGUGAAGAUGGACUGGGAGAUUUUAUGAAGCCACAGAAUUCUGCUGUAUUUUGGGUUCAGAUGUUAGCUGAGAUGCAAGUUUUGCUAUUCCCCUGAAGACAGAGGUUUCUCCCUUGGUUGCAACAUUAGCAGUGAGUUCAUUACUCCCUCAGUCUGGAAAAGCAUACAACGCCUCAGCCAUUCCUCCAGCUGCUCCAAAGAUACGUCUGACCUUGACCAGUGCUCCAUGUUCUCUCAAGUAGUGCCUGUAGCAGGAGCCCAGGAGGAAACAACAAGAGGACAGCAGUAUUCUCCCUGUGUCUUGCAAUUUUUGAACAAAUAACCACGAGUCAGAAGAGUUGACACUGUAUGUAACAAGUCUUUGAUAGAGAUUUUUUCAUGGUUUUGUCAAGUUUCCUUUUGAGUUCGUGUACAUUUUCAACAUUCUGUAGAAAGUAGUUUAAAAACUGGAGAAAGGUUUCCCUUUUGCACAAAAUCAAGGAUGAAAUGAAUAUUUGUUAGCUAUUGUGGUCUAGAAUAUUUACAUAAUCACCCUAUUUCUCAUUUUUGUCAUUGGUUAAAAAACCAAAUGACAGCCAGAAGCCAAAACAAGCUUUAAAAUGCAAUUAUUUUUCAUCUAUAUAAAUACAAAGUGACAGCUUGCUGAAUCCAAACUAAUUCUGUGAGUUAAUGAAAACAAAAUAAUAGUGCUGUAUGGUCUGGAAUACUGAUUCUUUUCAUUCUUCCCCCUGCCCUCCCCUCCACUUUCAUCUAUUAUUUCCUUCUUUGUUGAUGUCUUUAUGCUAAUGUCUUUAAUGCUUUGCCUGUCUAUUACAUUUGAUAUUUUUUAAAUCCUUGCAUGUUUUGAUUUCACUGGAGUUAGAUACAUAUGAGAGUGAUUUCUUUAGAAAAUUUUACAAAAUUAGAGAAUAUUAAGAGGAAAGAUGAGUAAUGGUAGCUUUCACUCAAAGAUGUCAAUUGCUUUGCUGGUUCUGUGCCUUUCUUAACUAAAUACCAAAAUCAUACUCUCUAACUAUUUAUCCAGUGGGUUGGGGUUUGAUCACUUGCCAAAUUUCAGGAGAACCAAAGCAUGCAAUUGGCAUUCAUAGUUGUGAUCUGGAAUUUUCUCUGAGAUUACCAAAAAUAGGCUGAUGUAUAUAUUCUGAUGAGAUGCAGUAAUGUAAGCCUAAGCCCAGCCCUGUGCUGUAUCACUCACCAAAGCAUUUUUAGCUCCCAGUGUCACCUUUAUCUUUAAAGUUGCUUUGUAGGAGCCAUCUGGUUCCUCUCAAUAUAAGUAGACCAUGCUGCAUCAGUCAGCUGGCACUGGCUAAUCAAAUACCAGCAGAUAACUUGAUCAUCUGCAAUGGAGAAAUACAGGGCAGCAUGCUAAGAACACCACGUGCACCGUACACAGCCCCAAGGAAUAUCGGUGCCAGUUUCCAUACAAACAGCUUUUCCUUGGCCAUGCAUGUGUAUCCACACACAUACACCUGCACAUCCCUGUGAUCUUCAUGUGUUUCAUACAUUUAAGUAUUGCAUCCUCCAGCUUCUCUGCUUGAUAGUGAUAAGAAUAAAAUUGUGAUCUGGGCUUCA